ensembl:lncRNA
CUGGAAUCCAAAGUGGACCAUACGGGCCUGGGGGAGGGAUUAGGGUUUUUCAUGUCGGAGCUCAUUUAAUUUUUCAUUGAAUCAAAAUAUCCUCCUGAUCGAGGUCUGUAGUAUGUUUUGUUGAGAAGAAGGGUACUUUGUUGAUACGUUUAAACUUUCAUCUUGAACCUGGGCCUUUGUUACCUCCAGGGAUUUCAGGUGACCCCCUGUUUUGAUUGACUUGUCUUCACAGCAGUCGCAGUAGGAGUCGGAGGAGAGGCGGCCGGAGGCGCUCACGCAGCCGCAGCAGCACGUACCGGAGCUACCGCAGUCACAGACGGACCUACAGCAGGAGCCACUCCAGGAGUCGGUCCUACACCAGGAGGUCCAGGAGCGCCAGCAGGAGGUGCAGGCGCCGCCGGAGGAGCCACAGUGACCGCAGUUCGGAGCGGCGCUCGUGGUCCUCUCCCUGGUCUAGCCGUAGCUCCUCCAGACACAGGACCCUCAGCAGCGGCAGCCGGUACAGCUGAGGCCCAGAACCAGACACCCUCCUCUCUGGAUGUCUGGAGACCACGUGGACCAGCUCUACCAAUCGUCAGGGAAUGUUCUACGAUCCGUUUCUUCCAGAAUAUUAUUUUCGGACUGUCUUUGUUUUUACUACCUUCCCCACAAGUUAAAGGAACGUCCCUCCCUGUAAAUGUUUGUAAUAUUUUUGAUUGUAAUUUCUUUAUUAAUUGUUAAUAACCAAAUCGUCAGGACUCUAUCUAUAUAUAUAUAUAUAUAUAUAUAUAUAUAUAUAUAUAUAUAUAUGUAUAUAUAUAUAUGUGUAUAUAUAUAUGUGUGU